rnacentral:rRNA from 1 species
ACGGGUGAGUAACACGUGGGAACGUACCCUUUGGUUCGGAAUAACGCUGGGAAACUAGCGCUAAUACCGGAUACGCCCUUUUGGGGAAAGGCUUGCUGCCGAAGGAUCGGCCCGCGUCUGAUUAGCUAGUUGGUGGGGUAAUGGCCUACCAAGGCGACGAUCAGUAGCUGGUCUGAGAGGAUGAUCAGCCACACUGGGACUGAGACACGGCCCAGACUCCUACGGGAGGCAGCAGUGGGGAAUAUUGGACAAUGGGCGCAAGCCUGAUCCAGCCAUGCCGCGUGAGUGAUGAAGGCCUUAGGGUUGUAAAGCUCUUUUGUCCGGGACGAUAAUGACGGUACCGGAAGAAUAAGCCCCGGCUAACUUCGUGCCAGCAGCCGCGGUAAUACGAAGGGGGCUAGCGUUGCUCGGAAUCACUGGGCGUAAAGGGCGCGUAGGCGGCCAUUCAAGUCGGGGGUGAAAGCCUGUGGCUCAACCACAGAAUUGCCUUCGAUACUGUUUGGCUUGAGUUUGGUAGAGGUUGGUGGAACUGCGAGUGUAGGUGGGGAAAUUCGUAGA